rnacentral:rRNA from 1 species
CAAGUCGAACGAAGGCUUCGGCCUUAGUGGCGCACGGGUGCGUAACGCGUGGGAAUCUGCCCUUGGGUUCGGAAUAACAGUUAGAAAUGACUGCUAAUACCGGAUGAUGUCGUAAGACCAAAGAUUUAUCGCCCAAGGAUGAGCCCGCGUAGGAUUAGCUAGUUGGUGAGGUAACAGCUCACCAAGGCGACGAUCCUUAGCUGGUCUGAGAGGAUGAUCAGCCACACUGGGACUGAGACACGGCCCAGACUCCUACGGGAGGCAGCAGUGGGGAAUAUUGGACAAUGGGCGAAAGCCUGAUCCAGCAAUGCCGCGUGAGUGAUGAAGGCCUUAGGGUUGUAAAGCUCUUUAACCCGGGAUGAUAAUGACAGUACCGGGAGAAUAAGCUCCGGCUAACUUCGUGCCAGCAGCCGCGGUAAUACG